UCCCAGACUCCUACGGGAGGCAGCAGUGAGGAAUAUUGGUCAAUGGGCGGGAGCCUGAACCAGCCAAGCCGCGUGAGGGAAGAAGGUACAGCGUAUCGUAAACCUCUUUUGUCAGGGAACAAAGGCGGGGACUAGUCCCCGGAUGAGGGUACCUGAAGAAAAAGCAUCGGCUAACUCCGUGCCAGCAGCCGCGGUAAUACGGAGGAUGCGAGCGUUAUCCGGAUUUAUUGGGUUUAAAGGGAGCGUAGGCCGGCUUUUAAGUCAGCUGUGAAAGUCCGCGGCUCAACCGUGGAAUUGCAGUUGAAACUGGAGGCCUUGAGUGCACACAGGGAUGUCGGAAUUCAUGGUGUAGCGGUGAAAUGCUUAGAUAUCAUGAAGAACUCCGAUCGCGAAGGCAAGUGUCCGGGGUGCAACUGACGCUGAGGCUCGAAAGUGCGGGUAUCAAACAGGAUUAGAUACCCCUGUA
rnacentral:rRNA from 1 species